rnacentral:rRNA from 1 species
AGCGGCCGACAGCCUCAGAAACCAGGCCCCUGCAACUGUUUAUUAAAAACAUAGCACUCUGCAAACACGAAAGUGGACGUAUAGGGUGUGAUGCCUGCCCGGUGCUGGAAGGUUAAUUGAUGGGGUUAGCGUAAGCGAAGCUCUUGAUCGAAGCCCCAGUAAACGGCGGCCGUAACAAUAACGGUCCUAAGGUAGCGAAAUUCCUUGUCGGGUAAGUUCCGACCUGCACGAAUGGCGUAACGAUGGCGGCGCUGUCUCCACCCGAGACUCAGUGAAAUUGAAAUCGCUGUGAAGAUGCAGUGUAUCCGCGGCUAGACGGAAAGACCCCGUGAACCUUUACUGCAGCUUGACACUGAACUUUGACCUUACUUGUGUAGGAUAGGUGGGAGGCUUUGAAGUAGGGACGCCAGUUCCUAUGGAGCCAUCCUUGAAAUACCACCCUGGUUUGUUUGAGGUUCUAACCUUGGUCCGUUAUCCGGAUCGGGGACAGUGCAUGGUAGGCAGUUUGACUGGGGCGGUCUCCUCCUAAAGAGUAACGGAGGAGUACGAAGGUGCGCUCAGCGUGGUCGGAAAUCACGCGUAGAGUAUAAAGGCAAAAGCGCGCUUAACUGCGAGACCCACAAGUCGAGCAGGUACGAAAGUAGGUCUUAGUGAUCCGGUGGUUCUGUAUGGAAGGGCCAUCGCUCAACGGAUAAAAGGUACUCUGGGGAUAACAGGCUGAUUCCUCCCAAGAGUUCAUAUCGACGGGGGAGUUUGGCACCUCGAUGUCGGCUCAUCACAUCCUGGGGCUGUAGCCGGUCCCAAGGGUAUGGCUGUUCGCCAUUUAAAGUGGUACGUGAGCUGGGUUUAAAACGUCGUGAGACAGUUUGGUCCCUAUCUGCCGUGGGCGUUGGAAAUUUGAAGGGGGCUGCUCCUAGUACGAGAGGACCGGAGUGGACGAACCUCUGGUGUACC